CAGUUGGUUUAGCACACCAGCAGAAAGUCGGUGGAGGUUUAUAUUUUUAAGUCCCCUAUCUGUGUGUUGGAAUUUCCUUCCAAGCAUAUGUAUUGCUCGGGUAUAUUAUCAAUUAUUAUAUAUAAAGGAAAAUGUGUUCCAGAUGCUUGUGAGUUUAACUUGAAUGAUCUUGUUGACGGUUUAUAGGCAUUUGCCUGGCCUGAAGGUCAAUCUUGAGAGGGUGGCCUUGGUGGAUUUGAUGGAAAGUCUUGCCGGGUUUUAGGAGAAUUCGGUGAUUCUUUCUUUAAUGGACUUGGUGGAGUCUUGCCCGGUUUUAGGAGACUUUGGUGGUCUGUUCUAUAAUGUCUUUGCGUAUUUUUAUGGAAUUCCCAACAAUCUCAAACUGGUGUAUAGUUCGUCUUGAGGGGCAAGUGUUCAUGAACUUCCUGUGCUUAAGUAAGUAAUGAUGGCCUUACUGUUUCUGGCAACCAUUUCCGCAGAGUACGGGAUGUGGACAUGAAGCACGACUAUGCCUUCGUAGUAUGUAUCAUCUCUCUGUUUUCCCUUGAUGGUGUUAAUAUUUUCAUUAGUUCCC
rnacentral:lncRNA from 1 species